rnacentral:rRNA from 1 species
CCCUUAGAUGUCCUGGGCUGCACGCGCGCUACACUGGAAGUUACGGAUUGAGAUACUACCUUGUCCGAAAUGGUCCGGGUAAUCACCUAAAAGCUUGUCAUAAUUGGAAUGGAUUAUUGUAACUAGUAAUCCUGAACGAGGAAUUCCUAGUAAGUCCCAGUCAACAGCUGGUACUAAUUACGUCCCUGCCCUUUGUACACACCGCCCGUCGCUACUACUGAUUGGACGUUUAAGCAAGAUUUUUAAACACUGACAGUGUGUAGUUCACGCUAUACUACAGUGAGAAGAAGAAGAUCGAGCUUACUUGUCUAGAGGAAGUAAAAGUCGUAACA